AGCCCCCUUCUUCUCUUUUCUCAAGCGAAUAAGGCAUGUGUGUCCCCAGAAUUCUAUCCCACAUGGCGAAGAACGGUUGGGAGAAGUUGUAUUUGCCACCGUAAAGCUGAUGGUGGAGAUCAUGGUAGGCGGUGUUGUUCUCAAAGAAGAUGUGGAAGGGAUUCCCAGGGAGCAUCAACCCGCAGUGGUCGUCCACUGAUUUCAUGGCGGCGAAGGAGGAGAAAAAGGCUGAGGUUGCAGGAGACAUACCGGAGAGGAAAAUAGCCAAUGACCCACCGAGGAUGUCAAAGAGAAACCCUUCGAUCGGAUGACUGUAGAUAGCACCGAAUGGGUAGGGAACAACCAGCCGAUGAUGCUUGGAGUGGAGGUG
rnacentral:lncRNA from 1 species